GAUCAGGUAGCAUUUUUUUUUUUUUUUUCCAUAAUGAGUAUAUCAAGAAAUGCAUCACUGGAUAUCCACCAACUUGCUUUCCAUUUUUUAACACUAGAUAAUGACAACUAAGCAUUUUAAAAUGCAACAGCAUGUGAAAUGUGCAUUUACAAUAUGAUUUCUUCUUCUCAAUCUUCAAAGGUAGUAGGUUUAGUAGGUCCAUGUAUAAACGACCAAUAUAUCUGAAAUGAUCUUGGACCCUUGGUUAAGGAAAACUAGAAUGGGAAGCCAUGUGACACCGACAUAAUCAUGAGCAUAGGACAAACAUUACCAUUAGUUUUUAAGAGAUGCUAGUGACACUGUAAUUGGUGCACCAUAUGCAUUUCUAGUGUCACGAGACUUUCCCAUGGGUUUCUUCUUCUUUUCGAUAAUGCAAAAUUGUUGCGCAAAAGUGAGUAUGUAUAAUAUAUUGGAAGUUCACAAAACAUAUGCAUAUUCCAUUUGACCAGAAUAUGGUGAGGCCAACAACACUCUAGUAAUGACAUGAACCAAGUGUGCACUUGGUUAGCCAAAAGGUUCAUCUGAACUUCACAUAGCAGGGGAAGAAUACAUCUACUGUAACAUAAAUGAAACCAAAAAGACCCUCCAAUGCUUUAUCAGUCAGCUUGAUGGAAACAUAAUUCAGACAAAGAAUCAAUUAACCGAUGUGGAUGACUUACGAGGCCACCGUCAAACACUAGCAGCUCAAAUUGAACAAUCUGUAUUUGUUUAUGAUAACUCUUACGAGGCUCACUGGUCAAGUAGCUUUGUUUUUUCCACAUUGAAUAUAACAAGAAACCAAUCAAUGGAUAAACACAACUUGGUUUGCGUACUUUAUCACAAUAAUGACACCAACAACAUUUUAAAAACCCAAAAGCAUGUGCGAAAUGCGUUUUUACAAUAUGAUUCCCUCUUCUGCUCAUGACCCCCUUCUAAAAGUAGUAGUAGGGUUAGUCUUCUGUAGAAAUAACCAAAAGAUUUGAAACGAUCUUGUUAAUGAAAAACUAAUAUAGUCAGCCAUAUAAUGCUGACAUAAUUAUGAGUAUACGACAAACAUUAAAUUAGUUUUUGAGAGAUCCCAAGGCCCCUGCAAAUGGUGGAUUUGAAUAGUCACAAGACUUGCCCAUAGAUUUCUUCUUUUACUGCUUAAACACUUUUGGAACAACUUGGCCAUGUAGGGGCCAUUAAGCCAGAGGGUAUUGAUCAGUUUUAGCUUUCAAAUAGUGGUUAGCCUUGUUGUAACAAGAGUGAUUGAGCCUAUGAUGGCAGCUACAGAGAGAGACCACAAAGAGGUUUUUCUUUUGGGAGUACGGUCUAGCAAUGGCUGAUGGGUUGUUGCCAUGAGUUUAGCAAAGUGUGCUCAACUGAGCUUCUCUUGUCAUGGUGUCCUUAAGAACAACAGAAGGUAGGGGGAUAAGGUUCAUGACUUCAUGCAUAUCUAACAGUGAAUAAAAGGAAAUGGACACAAACUAAAAAACAUUUGAGAAGAUUGGGACACCAGCAAUUGAUCAUAACAAGCGAAGUUCCAGUUAGAAAUCUUUGACAAUAAAGUUCUAGGUAAAUUUUCACACUAUAUUAGGGACCUCAACCUCAUAGAUAGGAAAGAACACUGCUAUCACUGGUAAGUGGGUAUCCUUUCAAACACGUUACGAAACCGCCACAUUAGUAAUGAAGUACCGAAAGCAAGACUUGGCACUCAACAACAUAGCACAGGGAAGACUUUUCAGGUAUCACACUCAUGCAGAAUUAACAUAUGGUGUUACAAAAAGGAUAUAUAGAAGGCUAUCAAGAUAAAUUAGACAUAUCUUAGGAAAAUCUGCCAGGAAGUCAUUUAGUCUUUUAUUUGACCACGACACUGACAAAUUUUCUUGCUAGAUAAUGGACGAUUCCAUCAGGAAAGUCAAAGCAAAACCUUGUAGCGAGGGGAAAAAGGAUCUUCGUAUGCUAAGUCAAUAACAACCUACAGACCCCAAAUAGAGAGAA